GACAGAGGAUGCAAGCGUUAUCCGGAAUGAUUGGGCGUAAAGCGUCUGUAGGUGGCUUUUUAAGUCCGCCGUCAAAUCCCAGGGCUCAACCCUGGACAGGCGGUGGAAACUACCAAGCUGGAGUACGGUAGGGGCAGAGGGAAUUUCCGGUGGAGCGGUGGAAAGUGCGUUAGAGAUCGGAAAGAACACCAACGGCGAAAGCGACUCUGCUGGGCCGAGCACUGACACUGAGAGACGAAAGCUAGGGGAGCGAAUGGG
rnacentral:rRNA from 1 species